CAGUCCCCAACCACAGGGCAUCUCUGGAAAGUGCUGGCAAAGCACCUGGGGGAAGGCGACUUGGUGAGGUGCAGCCAGCUCCCCCUCAGUGCUGGAGGGAUGCAGAGGAGAGGGCAGAGAGAAUCAGGGACUCCAAGUCACAGAGGAGCCGGCAUCCACUCCGUCCACCCCUCGCUGCCCAGACGAGGAAACCGAGCCCACCCGGAGAGGAAACCCUGGGCGGCGGUAUGUGACGCAGGUGGCCACACAUCAAUUCCAGUUGUGUUCAAAGCCAGCGGCCCUGUUUUCUCAGGUGCUGUGGCUUGGAAGAAAACUGGAUACGCAGGAACCCAGGAUGAGGAAAAGUCAUAUGCUCACUCCCCUGGCCCUCUCUUCAAGGCUUCAGAUUGAUCUAGGCAGUCCACUGCUCUCUCUGUCCUUUCCUCAGAGAGUUGAGGCCAUCUAGAAGUGUGGAAUAGAUGGGAGACAAGACAACAUGACAUUAUUUUCAUAAUAAUAAUAGCUGCUCCGGAGUUCCCAAGCGAUGUGGCCGACUCCCUUGGCAGGACUGGCCUCAGUUUUCCUGAGAUGAGCAGGUCGGAAGGUGAAGAUCCAAGGACACAUGUCUGAGCACACGUUAGUCUGGCUGGCUAAAAUGAUGUAUCCAUGGAUGGAAGGACAGAUGGAGGAACAGAUGCCAGAGCCAAGUUGCAGAGGGACCACGCCACUGACAGACCCCCUGGAGAUGGAAACCGGGGCCAGGAGACAUCUUCCCAGUGAAGACAAUACAGAGCUCACUGCCUCGUCCGCAGGCCGACGUUCGGCUCAACGCGGGGCUGUCAAAACGUGGAAGGAGAAGAUCUCGGAGAGCGCGCUCAUGGUGUUGAACUCAUUCAUGUGCAUCCGGGACUGCUCAGCCAGGUACGCAUUCAUGUCCUGGUCACUGAUGGCCGGCAUCUUCCCGAUGUCUGAGUAAUACCUGCCAAGGCAUGGGAGUGAGGAACCGUGCGUGCGGGGCAGAGGAGAGAUGGAAACUCCCAGCGCCGGGUCUGGGGCCAGCGGAUUCGGAGGGUGACCCAGACACUAUCAGAGGGGGAACAGGAGGAAGGAGCGACUAUCGCCUGCACUGGCUUUGCUCCCGGCUCCCGGAAGAGUGGUCCAGUCUGCCUUGCGUGUCCUUCUAACUCCCCCUCCCACAGACGCAAGACAUCCCCUCCAUGGGGCCUGAAGGCUCUUCUAGGCAGUUGCCCUGCCCUGAUGUCCUCCCCUCUCUGAGGUUAGCCGGGAGAAGGGUGGGGCUGGGGGCUGCUUGCGGGGAGAGGCCGGCAGAAGGCAAUCAGUCACUGUCACUUGCAGCUGUGCACUCCUGUCAACUGGUUAAUUAGAUGCCAACACAUUUUUAAUUUCUGCAGUUUGACAUUUUAUGCAGCAACCCCCAACUCUCCCACCAGAGGCGAGUUGUGUCAUUUCCUAAUGAGGAACCGAAGGGCCCUGGUGCCCCGCAAGACAGGUGCUUUCGGCUGUGGGCUACGUGAAAGAGACCAGGCACCUGCAAAGGUGGGGGAGCAUCAGGGCUGUGGGGCAGCACGCCCAGGAGUCCUUGUGGUGUCCCAGCUCAGCCCACGCUGAAUGCCCGCGGCUUCAAUGCUGGGGAGAGUGAGCCUGAGAGCUUAGAACAGAGGAGGGUGGCGGGGACAGUCACCAGGGCGGGGACUAGGGUGAGGCAAGUGAGGCAGCGGGGGAACAAAGUUUUCGGAGAGUCACUCACUCUCACCUGGGAAAGUGCAGGUGACAAUGAGAGGCCUUGGGUUCCCAGAACUCAAGGCUUGAUCAGGUGAGUGGAGGCAGUAUUCUCAGAGGCUCUGGUUCAUUCUCAGCCUGGACCUCAGCCCUGCAUCUCUCCCUCUGCAUCCCUUACCAUGCUGACCAUGAAUCUCUCAGUCUUGUGCCCACCUUCACCUCUGCCCCUAGGUGCCCAGGAGUUGGGUGACAGACUAUCAGAGGUGGCACUCGUGUGCUACUCCAGCAUCAUGCUCAAGGGCCUGUGUGAACGACAGUCAGACCUACUGACCGCGAGGAAAACCCCAGGCUCCCCCUGAUGGGACGUGAUCGUCAUCGGAAGCAAAGACUCCUGCCAUUCCCGUUACCUGCUCGUGAAACCUUACAGGAUGGCCCCAGUGAUUGAGAAGGUGGUCUCCAAUGCCCUGGACCCUUAGAGAAGAACAAAGUAUCCUCAUCCCUUCAAACAUCUCACAGAUGAAGGCCCAGCAGAAUCAGGACGUUGCUCCCUGAGCCCCCACUGGUACAGCUCAUGGGGCUUGCUGAGGGCCUGUCUGUGUGUCCUCCUUGACCAUGAGGACCACAAGGGAAGGAUCAAGUCUAAUCCACCCCGAGCGUCCAGUGCACCCACAAUGGACACCAUAAAUGUUUGACCCAUGGAUGAAUGAGUAAGGUGAGAGAUGGCAUCCCAGCGAGCAGCAUGCCCCGGUCCAAUUCCCAGGGGCCCAACUGUGGCUCCAUUCCGUUCACUCCUAUGUGGAAAACCUGUGCCUGCAGACGUGGCCGUAAGCAAAACCCCUAAUACUUGGAAUGGAGGCAGCAAAGACUGGGAGUCUGCAGCGAGGCCACCGGCCACAAGCACUGCCAGGUCCCAUUGCAGUGACAUUGCACCAGGACAGGUGCCCAGCUGCUGCCUCUUUCUUCUCUCUCUUUGCUGAAGAGCCAGCUGACCACACCGGAGACCUUGCUCCUCCUGGCAGCUCUGUUGUCAGAAGAAUGAGCCACUGUCGACGCAGGGGAAGUUCACUUUCCGGGGACGUGGAGAUCAGCGAGGUUGAACAAUCUGUUCAGAGAUACAGCAUUGAUGGGCACUGGAGGGCUCGAUGCCCAGCCUGGACCACAGGACUCACCAUCUUCCCUGAGAACACAAGGCUUUGGGGUCCGAGGCAGCCAUGACAGAACCAUCCCAUGAAGUUGGUGGUUUUUGCAGUCCCCGUUUUGCUGAAUGAUUCAAUGAACUCACCGUAUUUACUUGCCGAGGUCCUGGAGACGGUGGAGUUGUUCACUGCAUUGUAGGCUGUCACCUGCUUGGACACUAAAGCCACCACAGAACCAUCUGGCACCUACCGGGAAAAGGCAGGAAGCCAGGAAUCUCGUUUCCAGGCAGCCACUACCCCAUUCAACGCCUCACAGAUGCCGAAACUCUGCAACAGGCAAGAGCACCGGGUAUAGCGGCAUGUGGUUGGGGGCUGGAGUGAGUUACCCGCAGUCCUUGUCUGACCCCUGCCUUGGAUUUUUCCUACAGCUCGCAGACACACAUAUUGUCCUCCCUCCCUCUGUUCCCCUCCUGUCAAGGCUGAGCUGGGGGUCCAGGACUGAUUCCUUCCUGCCUUGUGCACUUGGCAUGACCAGUGCUACAGAUGAAAAUCAGACCCAGGAAGGGAGCUGCCUGCCCUUAGGGGGAGCAGAGAUGCUCCUAAUAUCCAAGUCCCUGCCUCCGGCUCCUGGGCUUGUCUCCUGCUUGGUUGAGAGCUUCUUGUAGCGUCGGGCUGUCCCAGGAAUGAAAACACGAGGAUGCCAUGCGUGUUCGCCGGAGCGGAAGAGCCUUGAGAGGUCUCUGGGGAUUACCCAUCGCUUAGUGCUGUUGAUGGCACAGCCGGAAUGAUUAUGGAGUGAAAGGAUUUUCUACCUGUGUGUUGCCGCUCCAUGGUGGGCAGACAGUGAGCUACAGUGAGAGGUGAAAUGUGAGCCGCGCUGUUAGAACCUGGGACAAAGGAAGAGCUGAACUCCAGAACCUCAACUGGGCACGUCCACUGCCAGAAGUGAAAGCUCUCUGAAGUGAUUAUCACUCAUUCUUCCAAUUUUACGACUGGGAAAUUAAAGAAACAGGUUGAGAAGACAGACCUGGAGGUCAUCACAACUCGGAGGUCAUCACAACUCAGAGCUCUGUCGCGUGGUGCCCACCACGUGCGUGAGCCACCCAAGUGUCGGGAGCAUGGAGGAGGGGCAGUGAUGGCCAGACUGGAACCUGGGCUGUGGCCACACUGGGAUGCUGGCGGGUAGUUGCCUCCCCUCAAGUGCAUACUCUGAGCUCCAGGAAUCCCAGUGGGACAUAGCACUUCCCCCUCCACAAAAUCAAGUUGUGCUGAUGGGGGCGUCGCACGCUUUCCCCACUGGCUGAGCCUUGUGACCAGUGAUGAUACACCAUGGGCAGCAGGAUGGUCAAGGGCAGCAGGAAGCCUGCUGUUCACUGAUGUCAGUGCUUAGUCACACAUUCAGGGACUGCAAGAAGAGGCAUUCUGGUGUCCCAGUCCUACGGUCCUUCGAGCCCAGCCCCUGCCUCUGAUGGGAUGCCAGCAGGCAGCAGGGAGGCAUCAACUAGUGUCGUUUUGGCAAUUAUCUCAAAAAGUUAAGACUGGUCCUCCAAAUACCAAUAUGAAGAUAGCGAGCUGGAGAAUACUUAGCUUUUAGAUCUCUCAAGCCUGUUAUUUUGGUUACCUCUUCUACAGGAAAAUUGCUAAGUGCUUUUUUCCUGAAAUAUCGGAA